rnacentral:miRNA from 1 species
GCAGCUGUAUCUGCGGAAC